AGGUCCGGGAUAGCUGCGGGAAACUGCAGGUAAUACCGGAUAACAUCUCCGGAUCAAAGGUGUGAUUCCGCCUGAGGAUGAGUCUGCAUCCUAUUAGCUAGUUGGUGGGGUAAUGGCCUACCAAGGCUUUGAUGGGUAGCGGGUGUGAGAGCACGACCCGCGUCAUUGGGACUGAGACACUGCCCAGACACCUACGGGUGGCUGCAGUCGAGAAUCUUCGGCAAUGGGCGCAAGCCUGACCGAGCGACGCCGCGUGCGGGAUGAAGGCCUUCGGGUUGUAAACCGCUGUCAGAGGGGAUGAAAUGCAGGUGGGUUCUCCCAUCUGUUUGACAUAGCCUCAGAGGAAGGACGGGCUAAGUUCGUGCCAGCAGCCGCGGUAAGACGAACCGUCCAAACGUUAUUCGGAAUCACUGGGCUUAAAGGGUGCGUAGGCGGCGCGGAAAGUUGGGUGUGAAAUCCCUCGGCUCAACCGAGGAACUGCGCCCAAAACUGCCGUGCUCGAGGGAGAUAGAGGUGAGCGGAACUUAGGGUGGAGCGGUGAAAUGCGUUGAUAUCCUAAGGAACACCGGUGGCGAAAGCGGCUCACUGGAUCUCUUCUGACGCUGAGGCACGAAAGCUAGGGUAGCGAACGGGAUUAGAUACCCCGGUAGUCCUAGCCGUAAACGAUGAGCACUGGAUUGAAGGGUCCUCCAUAGCCUUUCAGUCGCAACGAAAGCGUUAAGUGCUCCGCCUGGGGAGUAUGGUCGCAAGGCUGAAA
rnacentral:rRNA from 1 species